ACAUACCACUUGUUGCCUCGGCGGAUCAGCCCGCUCCCGGUAAAACGGGACGGCCCGCCAGAGGACCCCUAAACUCUGUUUCUAUAUGUAACUUCUGAGUAAAACCAUAAAUAAAUCAAAACUUUCAACAACGGAUCUCUUGGUUCUGGCAUCGAUGAAGAACGCAGCAAAAUGCGAUAAGUAAUGUGAAUUGCAGAAUUCAGUGAAUCAUCGAAUCUUUGAACGCACAUUGCGCCCGCCAGUAUUCUGGCGGGCAUGCCUGUUCGAGCGUCAUUUCAACCCUCAAGCACAGCUUGGUGUUGGGACUCGCGUUAAUUCGCGUUCCUCAAAUUGAUUGGCGGUCACGUCGAGCUUCCAUAGCGUAGUAGUAAAACCCUCGUUACUGGUAAUCGUCGCGGCCACGCCGUUAAACCCCAACUUCUGAAUGUUGACCUCGGAUCAGGUAGGAAUACCCGCUGAACUUAAG
rnacentral:rRNA from 1 species